CGAUACAAACUAGUCACCUUUAGGCGAAAUUCGCCGUUUUGAAUUCAAAAUAGGUGACCUAUGUGAUUCGUGUAGAUCCGAUGAGAACGUUUGGGAGGGGGGGCUUUGGAUCACUAUUGGCCGUAAGCGAACGAGCGAUGCGCGUUUGGAGCAAUACUGGUUGUAUCCAAGGCUCAGCCAAUCGUUUACAUAACAGAAAUCAGCACAACAAGCGACUGAAGAGAGAAGAGACAACCAUCAGCGCUCUGGGAAGACAGCGGAGAGGAAUGGCAGCUUGCCAGCUACAGCAGCGCGUCCCUGAACGAUAACGAAGAGGUAACGUUAGAUGAGAAGCCUGACCACAUGACGGGGGUGAGAAGGUGAUGAAGAGUACUUAAUGAGCUGUAACCGAAAGACAACUGUCAUUUGGAAAGUGAGCAGUUUGCAACCCUGUAUUCUUCAAUCAAUCUCUUGGGGGCAGUUUGUUCUGGUGUGGACCAUUGGACUCAUGUUCAGCAUUCGUUUUGAGAAAAAUGGCCUCUGAUGGACAGACCGGGAGCAGUGAGAGAGUGACACAGUCUGUGGGACAGCUGAAGACAGGAUGAGGAACACAGCUGAACAAGGCCUUGUCCAAGACCAGAGAGAGACGCCGUGUGAGGCAAAGACGACUCAGCUGUGCCUGUCACUCAGGCUGCUGCAGCUCCCUUCUCCUGUGGAGGAUGUCACAUACCUCAACCUAGCGAAAGACGCAGGCAGAGCCAGAGGGGCAACAGAAAGAUCGAGAGUCGUGUAGGAGCAGUGGCGACCCGUCAUGGGGCAGGGCCCCAACUGUUUUGAGCCCCACAUUUUUAGCAAAAAAUAAAUAAAAUAUUAUCUUUCUUUUUUGGGGGGGGAGGCUUUCCUGUUUUGCAUGUUAUUUUGGCAUUAAUACAUGUCACAUCAGUUUGUAAACAAAAAUAUAUAUAUAUAUAUAUCAUUGAGUUAAUAAAGCCGCAUACAAACAUGGUCUCUUUUUUGUUUUCUUGAGUAAGGCAGCUCCAAAAUGCA
ensembl:lncRNA